AACGAACGUUGGCGGCGUGGAUUAGGCAUGCAAGUCGAACGAAGCUAGUCUGUGUAGCAAUACAUGGGCUAGACUGAGUGGCGAAAGGGGCAGUAAUGCGUGGAUAACCUACCCCGGGGAUGGGGAUAGCCAUUCUAACGAGUGGGUAAUACCCGGCGAUGCAGCGAGAUCGCAUGGUUUUGCUGUGAAAUGAAUUUCGCCUCGGGAGGGGUUCACGUGCUAUUAGCUGGUUGGUGGGGUAACGGCCUACCAAGGCAAAGAUGGCUAGCGGGUGUGAGAGCACGACCCGCGCCACUGGCACUGAGACACUGGCCAGACUCCUACGGGAGGCUGCAGUCGAGGAUCUUCGGCAAUGGGCGCAAGCCUGACCGAGCGACGCCGCGUGCGCGAUGAAGGCCUUCGGGUUGUAAAGCGCUGUCGAGGGGGAGGAAGCCGAAAGGUUGACCUAUCCCUGGAGGAAGCACGGGCUAAGUUCGUGCCAGCCGCC
rnacentral:rRNA from 1 species